CCUACGGGAGGCAGCAGUGGGGAAUAUUGCACAAUGGGGGAAACCCUGAUGCAGCAACGCCGCGUGAGUGACGAAGGCCUUCGGGUUGUAAAACUCUGUCUUAGCUGACGAUAAUGACGGUAAGCUAGGAGGAAGCCACGGCUAACUUCGUGCCAGCAGCCGCGGUAAUAA
rnacentral:rRNA from 1 species